rnacentral:rRNA from 1 species
CAGUAGCCGCGGUAACACGAGGGGGGCAAGCGUUGUUCGGAAUUAUUGGGCGUAAAGGGUGCGUAGGCGGUUUGACAAGUCAUCUGUGAAAUCUAUGGGCUCAACCCAUAGUCUGCAGGCGAAACUGUCGGGCUUGAGUAUUGGAGAGGUGAGUGGAAUUUCCGGUGUAGCGGUGAAAUGUGUAGAUAUCGGAAGGAACACCUGUGGCGAAAGCGGCUCACUGGACAAUAACUGACGCUGAGGCACGAAAGCUAGGGGAGCAAACAGGAUUAGAUACCCCGGUAGUCCCUGUCUCUUAUAC